CCCACCACCUCCCAGAUUUCAGAUGUUACUCAGCAAAACAGGACUGUCAGCAGGAAGAGAAAGUCAGUGGGAUCCACGUGCAGCCAAUUCUCAAUGAGAAAUUCCUGAAACUUCAUUGCCACCAGAACAAAG